GGAAAUCUGGUGUUUAUGCCUCACUGUUUGUGAUCUGCAGUGGAAAAGUACAUGCUUGGAAAAUCUGCCGCUUAACUUCUACUCCCAGCAUCAGAGUAUUUUCAGAACAUUCCAAUUAUAAUAAAUGAGGCACCUUUUAAACAAUGGAAACAACUUAACUAAAAACAUAUGGCAAGACGAAAG
rnacentral:lncRNA from 11 species